GUUCCACAUUUUCUAUCUAAGGAGGAAAAAAUAAGUUCCAUAUUUUCUAUUUGUCCACUGUGGUGAGGUCAUUCAAUGUGGACGACUGGAAUAUUAAUUUAAAAAUUAAUUUGUUGUGCAAUGGUUUGCUACGUAUUACUGUAAUUAGCUCGUUAGUCUGUAAACAAUUUGUAAAAAUGAACAAUGCAAUAGGUAGUCAUUUUCUCAAUGGUAGUUGUGUCUGCCAGAGAGUCUUGAAAAUAGGCAGCUUCAGAUGUCUGGUCCCUCAGUAACAUGAUGUAGCUCAUUCACAAAGAAAUGUCAUGACAGCUCAUUCAAGGUUUCCACCGGUGAAAGAGUUGUCUUCUUCCAAAAUUCGGUGUUUUCAAUGAACCAAAAUUCAGAUGCAGUUGUCAGGCAGGGCUGGAGGUACAAUGAAUGUAUUUGACACCACUAUGAAGAGGAGACAGAAGAAAUAGGCUGCAUCACUACAAGACAGUGACAAAUAUGACUAUCUGAAGAGAUGAGGUUGGAAGCAGAGUUGCAGACGGUGUCUGUGACAUUGCAAGGACAUUUCCUUUGACAUUGGACAUUGGCUGUGGGAAAAGUCACAUUGCUGAGCAUUUGUACAAGGAAGUAGUUGAGCAGCUCUUCUUAAUUGACAUCUCAGAAAAGUACUUGAGAAACACAAGAGAAAGUGUCCCCCUACACGGCCGUCACAGACCUGGGCAACCUGCUGGGCCAGGCAGGCUUCAGUAUGCUGACAGCGGACGUUGAUGAAAUUCAAGUGCACUAUCCUGGGAUACUUGAGAUCAUGAGUGACCUGCAAGGGAGAGCAACUGCGCUUGGAACAAGAAGUCCAUGUUGCACAGAGACACCAUUUUAGCUGCAGCUGCAAUCUACCAAGGUGAGCUACAUAGUGGAGAAAGACAUACUUGAAAUGAAACCGUCUUAUACUAAUAUUAUCAUCCAUACAGUGCAUUCGGAAAGUAUUCAGACCCCUUGACUUUUUCCACAUUUUGUUAUGUUACAGCCAUAUUCUAAAAUUGAUUAAAUUGUUUUUUUCCCCCUCAUCAAUCUACAC